UUCAAUGUUGGUGUAGUGGUUUGAGCACUGGACUACAAACAACUCUGGAGACCAGGGUUCGAAUCCCUGCUUUGCCA